UCUGCAACGGCUACAUGAAUGAAGACAAUGUGAAUACUGCUUGUUCUAUGAUGUGAAAGGAAAUAGAACUAAAGAGGGGAGAUUGUUACCAUGAUAUGUGACACUGUAAAAACUCCAAUCAUACCAUCGUUGUCUGGAGGUAGCUCCAAUCCUGAAUCUUCUCCAAAAAACAAAACCUGAAAUACCAGGUUUGGGUCGAGCGCCAGGUCAAAAAUCAUGGCCCAAACAAGCAGUACACACUACACAAAAAAUCAAUACAAAAAGAUUGACAACUCAAAUGGUCGUAGAAAAGGUGCACGAAAAUCUCUAUAGCCCAGUCAAAUAAGUAAUAAAAAAAGGUCCGAAAUGAGCCGUAGGAGGGCUUGCCUCCAGUUUAUUAAUACCUGGCCUUCUCUUUCUGCAAGUAAAUAUUGUCACUGCCCAACAACUAACGCUUUGUCCAAGAUUAACAUAUUUGUGUGUUCACUAAAACAAGUAAGUCUAAAUUUAUAGAUGCAAAACAAUGGAGUAGUAGAUGCAACUUUGCAGAUACAGAACGUGCAUAGAUGACCAAUAUCAGUAUCAAGUAUCAACACAUCACUAAUAGCAGUGUGGA
rnacentral:lncRNA from 1 species